rnacentral:rRNA from 1 species
AUGUAACAAGGUCUCCGUUGGUGAACCAGCGGAGGGAUCAUUG